UUUUUGUUUGAACGAAGCAAAAGUCAGUAGAGUAGAAAAAUCAAAAUUUGGCUUCAUACAAUAAAGAUUUUGCAAUACAUUUGGAAACAAAUUUUCUCUACAUUUAAACAUGAAAGAUAAAAUAUUAAAGACAUUUAGUUGAUAUACAUUUAAAAUAUUCAUUUCUUUAAAAAGUUGUUUCGUGUGAAAAAACCGAUUUUUAAAAUUUGUUGCGCGAGCUGUGUGUUUCUGAUGAAGAGAAUUCCGAUGCAUUUAGCAAUUUUAUUGGAGGUAUUAUCAAUAUGAUUUCCCCAAGAUAGAUUUUCAUCAAUUUAGUAACUUAGUAACUUUUUCUCUUCUUAUUAUUAUAUUAUAAAUUAAAAGGUUUGGCAUGAUGUGGGUCAGUUUCUGGUUUUUUAAAGGUCGAUAAAAAAAGUGUCCAUCAAGUUUUUUCUAUAUUUUGGGACAAGUAUAGAAAAUAUUUGUUUAAACCAAAAUGAAAACAGAAACUUUUUUAGAUUCAUAUUAUUAGUAAAAAGCGAAAGGAGGUGGCAAAAUGGGCGUUCUCACGAAUCAUAAAAAUGGAUGGCGUAUCAUCAUUAUAUUUUUUUAAUAUUAUUAAUUUUCAUUUUUUUGUCUUACAGAUGUUCGACUAAAACUUAAUAAAUUAAUAUCUUUAUGAGACAAAAACAAAUUUGUGUCUUAUGCAAAACUUAUUGUUGUUAAGUUUGAUGAUUUAUGAAGAUCAUUUAUGUAUAUUAAAAAAUUAGAGGACCAAGUAUGGAUCCUUGUGGAA